UAAAAACCGGGAUAAAACGACAUUUUCUAAAAAUGAAUCUUAGCUACCUACCUAUAUCGCACUUUAACACAUAAGGAGCACUUUAUUUCUCAUCUCAAUUUACAAUCAUCUACUUAAUGAAUAUGUAGUACCACAAUUUCCCGACAAAAAAAAACAAGACAUAAGCUGUGCUUAUGUCUACACACAUUAAGCUGACGUAUAUCUACGUGCUAAUUAAUACAAAUGCGAAUGUAAUUUUGUGUACGUUCGGACUAUUUUUCGAUGAGUUACAAGUUUAUUAGAAUAUUUUUUUAAAGUAAUGAUUCGAAAGGUUAUUUUUCAAUAAAUUUUGUUACGUUUU